CAAAUUUCACUUUCCCGCCCAAAACUGCUCAUCCCUUCUACCUUUCACCUUUUUCCACCCCAAACCCAGAAAUCUUCCAAUCCGAAACCACAAUCUCAUCUGUCUCUCUCUAAAACCCUUUCACCUGAUAGCCACACAACAACUCAUACACAAACCCAUACACACACUGGUAAAGAUGGCAGCAUCAUCAAUUCGCCGCGCAAGAGACUACGCCCCCGCCGGCGGCGGCGGAGGUGGAGGGACGGUCACGGCGGCUGUGGCGGCGAAACCCACCAAAACCCUGACCCCAGUCUCGACCCUUGAGGCCCUAAAGAGAUCCACCGGAAAAGAAAACCCUAGACCCACUUCCCGAGGACGUGCGGCGACGGCGCAGAAGCCAGCGAUGAUUCGGCCGAUGCCUCGAAUCGACAAGUCGACUUCGUCGGUACCAAGAGGUAGGUGCUCUAGUCCCUCUGAUUUCAAUAGGGUCCUGUCUGAUUUGCGGAAAGAUGCUAGGGUUUCUAGGGUUUCGGCGUCCGGAGUCGAAGCCGAGCAGCGUUCGGUCUCGAGUGGUCGGAGGAGUGUGAUUCAGCAAAAGAAGGUUUCUUUGAGAGAUUUGGAUGCAAAAUCGAGUGGAGGAAGUGAGAAUCGAGUUCGGCUUCUAACCGAGCGGAGAAAUUCGGUGUUUAGUGAGGUGGGUAGUGAGAGAAGGGCUGAGAUUUCCGAGAGGAUUCAGCAAAAGAAGGGUUCUUUGGGAGAUUUGGAUGCGAAAUCAAGUGGAGGGAGUGAGAACCGUAAUAGGCUUUCUCACGAAUGCAGGAAUUCAGCAGUUGGUGAGGUUGGUAAUGAGAGAAGGGGUGAGAUUUCUGAGCAAUGUGGAUCAAAUUCUAAAGGAAGUGAAGAAGUUAGAGGUAGGGUUCUUGAGAGGAUUCAGCAACAGAUUGGUGGAUUGAGGGAUUUGAAUGCGAAAUCAAGUGAAGGAAGUGAGAAAGUAGUUAAGGAAUGGCAAAAUUCAGUGAAUGCUGAUGUGGCUAUGGAGAAAAAAUGUCAAAGCCAUGAGCAAAGUGAAUUUUAUACUCACAGUGGUGAAGAGGCUAGUGUUAGGGUUCCUUCAAGAAUUCAGCAGCGGAAGGGCGGUUUGAAGGAUUUGGAUGUGAAAUCAAGUGGAGGAAGUGUGAAUGGAGUUGGGGGUUUGAAGGAAUGCGCAAAUUCAGUGAAUGCUGAGGUGGGAAUGGAGAAAAGUGGUCAGAAUCACAAGCAAUGUCAGUUGUCUACAAAAGGAGGUGAAGAAGCUAGGGUUAGGGUUUCAGAUGAAUUGAAAGGAGAUGGAAAUCUAAACACAAUUCCGGCAAAGUCAUGCUUAGGUAGUCACGAUUCUAAGCGAAUCGUAGAUUCGAAUUUGAAAGUUUCAAGUGGUUUAAGAGUUUAUGAGGAAUCAAAGGGUAGAUCUUCGGCUGAUCUGAAAUCUGUGAGUGGAGGUGAAGUAGGUGGGAAAGAAUUGGGCCGGAAAACUCUGAAUGGUUCAAGAGGCUCAGAGAUCUCGAAGGCAAAGUGUGUUGUUGAAGAAGUUAUGGGUGGUGGGAGCAUCAACAAAUAUCCAAGCAGGCUCCAUGAGAAGCUUGCCUUUUUGGAAGGAAAGGUGAAGAGGAUUGCAUCUGACAUAAAGAAGACAAAAGAGAUGUUGGAUAAGAAUAAUCCAGAUGCGUCAAAAGUGAUACUUUCGGAUAUUCAACAGAAAAUCUCAGGAAUUGAGAAGGCGAUGGAGAGUGUUAACGGUGUUGAUGGAAAGAUAGGUGUACCCAAAGUUACUGAAACUGAUGAUGUAUUGAGUAAAAGUUCGGAUAAGAGUCAAAACAAGGAAGUGGAUCCUUUGAAAUGUUCUGUUAAAGGCUUGAAUUCUGAAGAGCUGGAGGCAAGACUUUUUCCUCAUCAAAUGUUAAUUAGAGACAGGACAUCGUCGAAAGUGUCAUCAAAUCAUCAGAGUGAUCCUGUUGAACCUAGCUUUGUAUCGAAGCCUGAGGAGAAGUUGUUGGGCUCCAAUGAUGAAAACUCCAUUGCAUUGGAAUUCUUGGCUUCCCUGAACAAUGAGCAAUCUAAGAUUACAAGGAGGGCUGAAAUUGGUGGUGUGGAAUUCACUGAAGUUCAAGAAACAGAUGGUGUUGUCAAUUCAACAGAACAAGAUUCUUCCAAAACAGGCAGUGGGGAAGGGGGUUUUGAAAUGAUUCUCACUACAGAUGAAAAACUGGAUGAUUUUGAUGAUCAGGAGAAUAGACCGGCAAUGACAGUGGAUGAAGAGAUCGAUGAUAGCUUGAUUUAUCAGUUGAAUGAAAUUGGUCAUAAGACUGCGACAGGAGGAUGGUUUGUAUCUGAGGGAGAAGCUGUACUUCUUGCUCAUGGCGACGGUUCGUGUUCCUUCUAUGAUAUCAUUAACUGUGAGGAUAAAGCUGAAUACAAGCCCCCUGUGGAAGUCUCACAUAAUCUAUGGAGGGAUUGUUGGAUAAUUCGUGCCCCUGGUGCAGACGGUUGUUCCGGAAGGUAUGUUGUGGCUGCUUCUGCUGGCAAUACCUCGGAUUCAGGAUUUUGCUCAUGGGAUUUCUAUAGCAAAGAUGUGAGAGCAUUUCACACUGAGGAUGGCAUUGCUAAUUAUUCACGAACAGCACUUGCUCCCCUACCAAAUAACACAAUAUAUAGAAGAAACACUCUAUCUUCUGUUAUGGCCCCAGAAAACCACCAAUGGUGGUAUAGACCUUGUGGGCCACUUAUCGUGUCAACUGCCAGCUGUCAGAAGGCAGUUAAAGUGUAUGAUAUCCGCGAUGGUGAGCAGAUUAUGAAAUGGGAGGUGCAGAGGCCUGUUUUGGCAAUGAAUUACUCCAGUCCUUUGCAAUGGAGAAGCAGAGGGAAAGUGGUUGUAGCGGAGUCAGAAAGUGUUUCACUUUGGGAUGUGAGCUCUCUGGAUUCUCAGGCAUUACUGUCUAUUUCUUCUUGUGGUCGGAAAGUGUCUGCACUUCAUGUGAAUAACUCUGAUGCAGAACCGGGAGGAGGAGUAAGGCAAAGAGUAAGUUCAUCCGAAGCAGAAGGAAAUGAUGGAGUCUUCUGCACCCCUGAUUCCAUCAAUGUACUAGAUUUCCGCCAUCCAUCUGGCGUAGGUCUCAAGAUACCCAAACUUGGUGUCAAUGCAACGUCAGUUUUCUCUCGCGGAGAUUCCAUUUUUAUUGGCUGCAAUAACGCCAGGUCAUCGGGAAUGAAGCAACCCUGUCCUCAGGUGCAACAGUUUUCAUUGCGCAAACAGAAGCUUUUUGGCACUUACUCUUUGCCAGAAUCCAAUGCUCACUCCCACUACACAGCCUUAACGCAAGUCUGGGGAAAUCCAAACCAUGUCAUGGGAGUUUGUGGAUUGGGACUGUUCGUUUUUGAUGCAUCAAAUGAUGAUGGAUUGCAGCAGUCUCUCUCCACAGAUUGCAGUAACUUACAGAAGGUUAAAGAAGUUAUUGGACCAGAUGACUUGUAUUCCCCUUCUUUUGAUUACUCGGGGUCCCGUGUUCUCCUCAUAUCAAGAGAUCGUCCGGCUUUGUGGAGAGUGAGGAACAUCCCCAAAUGGCUGUUCAAGACAGUCGGAGAAGAGCAUUAAGCCUUGUAUUUUUCGUUGAAUGGGGAGAUUGCUCGAUGCUAGCAACAAUUGGCCUUGGUGCCGCUCAGUCUCCUUGGGGUGUCGCUAGUGGAGCCAUUGUAGGACAUCUUCUAGCAACAUCUAUCGCCAUUCUUGGAGGAGGAUUUCUCGCCAACUAUAUCUCUUAACUGAAUUUCCAAUCAGGUCGGCUAUUUUGGUGGAGCACUCUUUCUGAUUUUGAUGUAGCCACAUUUCUAGGAGUGUUCUGAUACAUUUUUGGGGAGUCAUUGGAAUGAAGUAAAAAGAAGGAAAUCUGUUUUACAAAAAAGAGAGCUGAUGUACCAAAAUACAACUUGGAAUUAGGUAGGUAUUAGAGGCAGGGCAGAGAAAAGAGAGAUCACAAAACUCCUGUUGAAGACGGCACAUCAUGUACUUUUAAGCACAAAAUAAGAUUAGUUACGAAUUGUUGUUGUUGUAGUCGUAUGUCUGUUGAUAGCAACUUAUAGCGAGCUUUACCGUUAGGAUUG